CUGGGCAUUUGAGUUCUUCUCAGUUCGUUAAAGCUUCAGGCUAAAUAUUCAAAUGAAUUCUUCUUAGCAUUUUUGCAGAAUCAAAAAGCUCAUUUGGUGGAUCUGCAGCUAUGUCGAAGAACAGCAAUGGCGGAUCGAGUGUUCAACGAGAUCAGGAAUCUUCUUACGAUCCAGUGAGAUGGUUGAAUCUGAUGGUUUCGGAGCCGUAUUAUCUGUUUCACUUGCUAGUUUUCUUCUCAUACAUCCCCGUUCGAUGCUCCGCUUUCCAAAUCCUUGACCCUGCUCGCAAUUCGUUCCUGCUUAAACGAGAGAUUCAAGUGUUUGUUGCAUACUGUGUCUUAACUGUUGUGAAGAUAGUAAGGACAGAAAGCUGGGAAUCCUUCAUUCAAGAUACUUUGUUGUUUGCUAAGAUUUUCCUUACUGCCAUUGCUUUAGUUAUGGAUUAUCACUUGGCUCUCUGGUAUGCAUUGGCAUUUUUAGUAAUACAUAUUAUUGCACAACAGCCUCCAUAUGAAGGACUAGGUUCUUCAAAUCAUUUGACACCAUUACAGUUGGAGAGUUUGCUUACUGAAGGAAAUACAUCACGAUUUUGGCUGGUUGAAUUUCGCGCUUUCUCCACAUCGUCUUGCGUAUGCACAAGUUCCUUUUUUCCAGAACUCUCAAUAACAUACUCAAAUACAAAUUUAUCUUUUGGGACAAUUGAUCUUGGACUCUUCCCUAAUGCUGCAGAAAGAUUCGGCAUUUCUCUUGGAAGCUUGAACCAACUUCCGGUGUACAUUCUAUUUGAGAAUGCUGUAGAGGUUGCACGCUUUCCAGAGUUUGACUCUGAGCCAUAUGUUUUUGGUCCUACCAUUACAAAGAUUCAGCUGUCUGUAAUUUAUGAACGAUGAAAUCCUGUGCUGAUGACAUUUGCAAGUUUAUUGCAGAGACUUCUUUGUGGGCGUUUUGAGCUUGACAAAAGACUUCUGGAUUAUGUUAAUGGAAAAUAGGUCAAACACGAAAGGUAUUCACGAUCUCCUAUUUGUUCGUCCAACCCCAAUCGAAGGAGAUGUUAUUCGUUCUCACACGGUUUCUGAAGAUACUAAUCACUCUUGUUCUUCCCACGAACUUCCUGCCAAAACUACAGGUAAACAUGUUAAAAGGUGCUAGAUCAGACAUGAAAUUUGUGAGGAAAUUGUUUUUUUUUUCAUUUCCUUUUCUUACAUUAGGAGAACACGCAGUUUGUUCAUAACUUUGUAUUGAGUCACCACGAUAUGUUGGAGUUCCACUUAUAAAAAAGGUCGAAUUCUAAGAUACUGUAAUGAAAUUUCACUUUUUAAAGUUUAAAGUUCAAUACAUUAUGCUUGAGAGGAGAACACGUAGUUUGUUCAUAACUUUGUAUUGAGUCAGCAUGAUAUUUUUGAGUUCCACUUAUAAAAGCUUCUAAGAUACUA